CACCUUUUAAAGCAGGCAAAUAUUUUGCAAAAAAGAGAAAUAGAACAAGAGGAAAGAGAACAGGAAGAAGUGGAAAGAGAAGGCGUAAGAACGAGACACCAAACAAGAGCAAACAAGCUUCAACAAGUAACAACUACAGAGUAAGAUGGUGGAAGAAAUCAAAUUGAUUUCAAUUAACAUCAAUGGUUUAAAUUCACAA